rnacentral:lncRNA from 1 species
UUUCGUUUGUGCAUUGGGGUCUAUUAAGGGGUAUUUUGGGGGGUAGAAAGGAGGGAGGGGUUUACUAUCGAACCCUAUGGGAUUUUAUUUUCUAAAAUUUUCAAAUGAAUAUAACUUGAAAACUGUAAGUGAUAGAUACAUGCAGUCUUCAGAAUUGAUUAAAGGACAAUUCCCUGGGAGUUCAUCCCCACCCCCUUCAAUUUGAGAAUAUGCUUAUAUCUUGUAAAUGGUCCAGAUCCCCACCCCUAAACCAUAUAUAUUCUUAAAUGGGACGAUAAAACAAAUCAAAUGAAAUUAAAGGGAGGUCCCCGGGGGUCAUCCCCACCCCGUUCAAUUUGAGAAUGUGUUAUUAUCUUGUAAACGGUCCAGAUCCCCACCCU